rnacentral:rRNA from 1 species
UACGUAGGGUGCGAGCGUUAAUCGGAAUUACUGGGCGUAAAGCGUGCGCAGGCGGUUCGUUAUGUCCGAUGUGAAAGCCCCGGGCUCAACCUGGGAAUGGCAAUGGAUACUGGCGAGCUAGAGUGUGUCAGAGGAUGGUGGAAUUCCCGGUGUAGCGGUGAAAUGCGUAGAGAUCGGGAGGAACAUCAGUGGCGAAGGCGGCCAUCUGGGACAACACUGACGCUGAGGCACGAAAGCGUGGGGAGCAAACAGGG